CCAGUAUUCUGUGUGUACACAACCUUUCUCGGCCGCGGACACCUCCACAAGGUUCUCUUUUCGUGCGCCAUCUCCCCUGUAUCUGAACUCGCUAGUUGCUCUGUUCUCUCUCCCUCUUAAAACGCCAACCUCACCACCAUCACGACCACACCUGUCGACCCCAUAUCAGUCUCCUGUACCCGUAGAGGCCUCACAGGCUGAUCACCUCUUCUCUCGCCCUCGACGAAAAUGGUAAACGUGUGCGUUGUUGGGGCUGCCGGCGGCAUCGGGCAGUCGCUGUCGCUUCUGCUGGUGCGCCAGCUGCCGUACGGGAGCACGUUGUCGUUGUUCGACGUUGUGGGCGCUGCCGGCGUUGCAGCGGACCUGUCGCACGUGGACAACGCCGGUGUGCAGGUGAAGUUCGCGGCGGGCAAGAUAGGCCAGAAGCGCGACCCUGCGCUAGCGGAGCUUGCGAAGGGCGUGGAUGUGUUUGUGAUGGUGGCUGGCGUGCCACGCAAGCCGGGCAUGACGCGCGACGACCUUUUCAAAAUCAACGCCGGAAUCAUCCUGGACCUUGUGCUGACGUGCGCAUCGUCGAGCCCAAAGGCGGUGUUCUGCAUUGUGACGAACCCUGUGAACAGCACGGUCGUGAUCGCGGCAGAGGCGCUGAAGAGCCUCGGCGUAUACGACAGAAACCGGCUGCUUGGCGUGUCGCUGCUAGACGGGCUGCGCGCGACGUGCUUCAUCAACGAGGCGCGCAAGCCUUUGGUCGUGACGCAGGUGCCAGUUGUUGGCGGGCACAGCGACGCAACGAUUGUUCCGUUGUUCCACCAGCUGCUGGGGCCGUUGCCGGAGCAGGCGACGCUGGACAAGAUCGUGAAGCGCGUGCAGGUUGCAGGCACAGAGGUGGUGAAGGCGAAGGCCGGGCGCGGGUCUGCGACGCUGUCGAUGGCGGAGGCUGGCGCGCGGUUCACGCUGAAGGUUGUGGAGGGCCUGACCGGCACGGGUAAACCGCUGGUGUACGCAUACGUGGACACAGACGGGCAGCACGAGACGCCGUUCCUCGCGAUCCCCGUGGUGCUUGGCGUGAAUGGAAUCGAGAAGCGCCUGCCAAUCGGUCCGCUGCACUCGACAGAGGAAACGCUGCUGAAGGCGGCACUGCCGGUGAUCAAGAAGAAUAUCGUGAAGGGCAGCGAGUUCGCGCGCUCACACCUGUAGCACCUCAGCGUUUUCUUUUCUUUUGCUGUAAACGGACAUGGGAAGCAUCUCGAUACUUCGUCGCGCUGGCGGACGUCGCACGACGUCGUUCGUCAUCCCCCUCCCCCUCUUCGGCCCUAUACGCAUGAAGGAGUUGAAUUACGCAACAGCAUGUUGAUAUCAAGUGUGCGACUGGCGAAGGGAAGGGGAGGGGCGUGCGCAAGUAGCCAUCGAGGACAUCAGCAUUGCGGACGGCUCCUCCCCUCCCCCGAGCUCCUACAGCCUUUUUUUUUGUGGGUGUGGGGGGUCUUGUUUUCGCCUACGCGGUGCCGUUGUCGUGGUGCACCGAUCAAAAAAAUAGUUUUUGUGUAUUGAACUAUUUAAGGAGGAAGUGGAAGGAGGGGCUGGACGUGACGGGGUGCAUGGAUACACCCACACACGCACAUUUAUAUAUAUAUAUAUAUCGAUGCAUACGCAGACGCUCUGCCGCGAUUGCUCAGCUUGCUUUCUGCUCCUUCCUCUGUUUUUUUUUCCCGGCUUUUAUAAGCGAGUCGCUCUCUGCCGCGUCUUUGGUGCUUGUAUCUUCCUGCCGCACUGCCCCUCCCUCCCUCCCUCCCUCCCAUCACUUAUCUCCCUCUCUCCCGCAGGGGUGUAAGUUCUGAGCUCAUCUCCGUUAUUGUUGUGUGCUCGUGAUUGGAAAGAAAGAGGACCUGUGCACCGGGGAGGAAGGAUGAGGUGUGUCGUAAAGGAAGUGUGAGUAGGUCAAUCAGCGGGAAAGCAGCACACAUGCGCGCACGCACAUACACGCGCGAAGGCAUCCAUGUGUUUCGACCGCUAACGAAUGCGAUGCAAGAGCAUAAAAACCUUGAUGUAAGACUUGCCCCCCCCCUCCUCCUAUAACCACAUCCAUAUGCUUGCAUGUGUGCAUGACCUGUUGGGCAUGCUCAAAGAGAAUGUGUAGAGGGAGCGCGCUGAAACGCGAGGGUUCAAAUAUGGAGACCUGACGCUACGCGCAUGCGCAGAUGCGACCCUCGGAGUGAACACCAGCACGCAAGCAGCUCCGUGUGCGGCUGCGACUCCUCCGCCUUCUCCAGCGGCGCAUACCUAUGCGUGCGCUCGUGUGAACGUGUAUGUGGGCAUGCAUGAAGACAAGCGAAACGUCGCUUCUAAGCGCAGUCCUUCGAGCAACGUGCGCGGCCACAACCACCGACACACUCACAGAGCAUACAAAGACGCAAAAAAAAACGAAAACACCAAGCAGUGAUGCGCGCGUCCUUACCGCUGGCGCUGUCGUUUACAGCGACCUGAAUGAAAGUAUGGGGUGUGACCUAUUCGGUGACUGGUG
rnacentral:misc_RNA from 1 species